rnacentral:rRNA from 1 species
AAAAGCUCAAAUUUAAAAUCUGGCGGUUUGGCCGUCCGAGUUGUAGUCUGGAGAAGUGCUUUCCGCGCUGGACCGUGUAUAAGUCUCUUGGAACAGAGCGUCAUAGAGGGUGAGAAUCCCGUCUUUGACACGGACUACCAGCUUUGUGAUGCGCUCUCAAAGAGUCGAGUUGUUUGGGAAUGCAGCUCAAAAUGGGUGGUA